rnacentral:rRNA from 1 species
AUUGAACGCUGGCGGCAUGCUUUACACAUGCAAGUCGAACGGCAGCGCGGGCUUCGGCCUGGCGGCGAGUGGCGAACGGGUGAGUAAUACAUCGGAACGUGCCCAGUAGUGGGGGAUAGCUCGGCGAAAGCCGGAUUAAUACCGCAUACGACCUGAGGGUGAAAGCGGGGGAUCUUCGGACCUCGCGCUAUUGGAGGGGCCGAUGGCAGAUUAGCUAGUUGGUGGGGUAAAGGCCUACCAAGGCGACGAUCUGUAGCUGGUCUGAGAGGACGACCAGCCACACUGGGACUGAGACACGGCCCAGACUCCUACGGGAGGCAGCAGUGGGGAAUUUUGGACAAUGGGCGAAAGCCUGAUCCAGCAAUGCCGCGUGUGUGAUGAAGGCCUUCGGGUUGUAAAGCACUUUUGGCGGGAACGAAAAGGACUGUGCCAAUACCACGGUUCGAUGACGGUACCCGCAGAAUAAGCACCGGCUAACUACGUG